GACGAAGGAUGCAAGCGUUAUCCGGAUUCAUUGGGUUUAAAGGGAGCGUAGGUGGUCUUAUAAGUCAGUGGUGAAAUCUCGCAGCUUAACUGCGAAACUGCCAUUGAUACUGUAGGACUUGAGUAUAGUUGCUGUGGGCGGAAUAUGACAUGUAGUGGUGAAAUACUUAGAGAUGUCAUAGAACACCGAUUGCGAAGGCAGCUCACAAAACUAUAACUGACACUGAGGCUCGAAAGUGUGGGGAUCAAACAGG
rnacentral:rRNA from 1 species